AUCCGGUGAAGUUGUGAGCCGUUACUUCCAAAGGGUACUCCAUGCCAUUGGCGAGCUUCGAGAUGACCUUAUUAGGAAGCCUUCAUUGGAGACCCAAACCAAAAUAGAAGGAAACUACCGGUGGGAUCCAUACUUUAAGGAUUGUAUUGGAGCUAUUGAUGGUACACAUGUGCGAGCCUCUGUUACACCGGAUAUGGAGGCUUCCUUUCGUGGUACAAAGACUUAUGCCACUCAAAAUGUGAUGGCGGCUGUAGAUUUUGAUCUUCGAUUCACAUAUGUGUUGGCCGGGUGGGAGGGGACAACACAUGAUGCUCUAGUUUUACGUGACGCUUUAGAACGUGAAAAUGGUCUACGUGUCCCACAAGGGAAAUUUUAUCUAGUUGAUGCUGGAUAUGGAGCCAAACGUGGUUUUUUGCCUCCUUUUCGUGGUGUGAGGUACCACUUGAAUGAGUGGGGAAACAACCCUGUGCAAAAUGAGAGGGAGCUGUUCAACCUUAGGCAUUCUUCUCUUCGUGUGACUGUAGAACGUGCAUUUGGGUCAUUGAAGAGAAGAUUCAAGAUACUUGAUGA